CUACCUGGUUGAUCCUGCCAGUAGUCAUAUGCUUGUCUCAAAGAUUAAGCCAUGCAUGUCUAAGUACAGGCCGAAACAAGGCGAAACCGCGAAUGGCUCAUUAAAUCAGUUAUGGUUCAUUGGAUGUUACCUUGUUUUACUUGGAUAACUGUGGUAAUUCUAGAGCUAAUACAUGAUACCCCAGCUCCGACCGCAAGGAAAGAGCGCUUUUAUUAGAUCAAAACCAAUCGGGCUUCGGUCCGUUCUCACUGUGGUGACUCUGAAUAACUUUGAGCUGAGCGCAUGGUCCUCGAACCGGCGCCAUAUCCUUCAAGUGUCUGCCUUAUCAGCUUUCGAUUGUAGGUUAUGCGCCUACAAUGGCUAUAACGGGUAACGGGGAAUCAGGGUUCGAUUCCGGAGAGGGAGCCUGAGAAACGGCUACCACAUCUAAGGAAGGCAGCAGGCACGCAAAUUACCCACUCCCGGCUCGGGGAGGUAGUGACGAAAAAUAACGAUGCGGGACUCUUCCGAGGCCUCGCAAUCGGAAUGAGCACACUUUAAAUCCUUUAACGAGGAUCUAUUGGAGGGCAAGUCUGGUGCCAGCAGCCGCGGUAAUUCCAGCUCCAAUAGCGUAUAUUAAAGUUGCUGCGGUUAAAAAGCUCGUAGUUGGAUCUCAGUUCCGGACCGACGGUUCACCGCCCGGUGCUUACUGUCGGCUUCCGAACAGCCGCACGCCGGCUCGGCCAGGGUGCUCUUCAUCGAGUGUCCUGGUUUCGGCCGGCACGUUUACUUUGAAAAAAUUAGAGUGCUCAGCGCAGGCUGCAACGCCUGAAUAAUCUGUGCAUGGAAUAAUGGAAUAGGACCUCGGUUCUAUUUUGUUGGUUUUCGGAACCCGAGGUAAUGAUUAAUAGGAACUGUCGGGGGCAUUCGUAUUGCGACGUUAGAGGUGAAAUUCUUGGAUCGUCGCAAGACGGACUACUGCGAAAGCAUUUGCCAAGAAUGUUUUCAUUAAUCAAGAACGAAAGUUAGAGGUUCGAAGGCGAUCAGAUACCGCCCUAGUUCUAACCAUAAACGAUGCCAACCAGCGAUCCGCCGGCGUUAUUCCCAUGACUCGGCGGGCAGCUUCCGGGAAACCAAAGUCUCUGGGUUCCGGGGGAAGUAUGGUUGCAAAGCUGAAACUUAAAGGAAUUGACGGAAGGGCACCACCAGGAGUGGAGCCUGCGGCUUAAUUUGACUCAACACGGGGAACCUCACCAGGCCCGGACACCGGAAGGAUUGACAGAUUGAGAGCUCUUUCUCGAUUCGGUGGGUGGUGGUGCAUGGCCGUUCUUAGUUGGGGGAGCGAUUUGUCUGGUUAAUUCCGAUAACAACCGAAAACUCAAA
rnacentral:rRNA from 1 species